GAAAACUGCAGUACCAGUCCAUUUGUGGGACGAUCAGAGGAGCAGCACCAGGGCCAUGUCUCUGUGCCUUGGAGGGACCUGCUGUGCCAUACAACCAGCACGUUUCCUCUACUGAUAUACAGAGUUCAUAUACAUACACAGGGGUACUAUUUACUGUUGCUUUGGAAACGUGCAGGAGGGAAGCAUGGGCCAUUGCUCUGACGGAGGGUGAAGGCAGCUCGUACCUGUCUUCUGCUUGACUUCCAAACCUGGCUUUUGGAAGUGGGCUGUUCACCCUAAUAAUAGGAUGAGUUGUGCAAUAAUUAAUUGUAAUUGCGUUCAUAUAAAGCCCUGUGGAAACCUCUGCCCACUUCUGGGCCUUCUCUCACACAUCAGAACUGCCUUCCUGAUUCCCAAG
rnacentral:lncRNA from 1 species